rnacentral:rRNA from 1 species
UACGUAGGGUGCGAGCGUUAAUCGGAAUUACUGGGCGUAAAGCGUGCGCAGGCGGUUGUGCAAGACAGAUGUGAAAUCCCCGGGCUCAACCUGGGAACUGCAUUUGUGACUGUACGGCUGGAGUGCGGCAGAGGAGACUGGAAUUCCUGGUGUAGCAGUGAAAUGCGUAGAUAUCAGGAGGAAUACCGAUGGCGAAGGCAGGUCUCUGGGCUGACACUGACGCUCAUGCACGAAAGCGUGGGGAGCAAACAGGAUUAGA